rnacentral:rRNA from 1 species
CCGGUCUCAUUCCGAACCCGGAAGCUAAGCCCUUCAGCGCCGAUGGUACUGCCCGCGUGAGUGGGUGGGAGAGUAGGACACCGCCGGAC